CUUGUGUGUGUGUGUGUGUGUGUGUGUGUGUGUGUGUGUGUGUGUGUGUGUGUUUCUGGCGUUUACCGUGACCAACCGAACUCCAAACUAGAUUAUGAACUUCCCACAAAUAGUUCAUUGGACUGACUUCAGACUCAACAGUAUCUCAGCCUAUGGCUCUUUAAUUUAAGAGGCUUCGAGUAACAACGUUUAGACUGGACUCUGUAAAGUCAACUGGUUUUAUCAGGUUAUGUUUGGAGAGGGCUCCGGUAGCACAUUCCUCAAUAUAACAGUCAUUAUCUGCUUAUCGAAACAAAUAAUCUAUCAAAUAAAGACGAGACUCACAGGAAGACGAGCUCGGAGAAAAAGAGCGCCGCCACCAGGUUCCGGUGGAUGGCGUGGAGGUUGGAGCGGAGCCGGCGCAGGAGGCACAACAAGAUGAAGAUAGUCCAUAGUCCACCUCAGGCUCCUGCGAUCAGGGUCGUAUCUCUCCGGGAGCAGUUUUCCCAGCGAUUUGUACACUAUCACCACGGCAACCGGCAGAGGGGCAGUUGGCUCGAGGUGCCGGCGUCUCCUAUCAGACACUGUGUGCUCCUCCUCCUCCUGGGGGGGAUCUGUCUGAGUUGGAGGGGCCGGAGUGGGCUCAGCUGAGAGGGCGGAAGUUGAACUCGGGGAAGUGGACGUAGGACCCAAGCUCUUUGGGGUAAGCCUCCUGGAUGUCCUGGAACCGAGGGAAUGACGCCCUCUCCGGGUCCGACACGUCCAGGUAGUCCACGGUCAGAACUACAAGUCGGGCGAAAAAGGCGAAAAAUCGUCAAAAUGAUGUGAUGCCGCUAACCGUCUUCACACGGCGGGUU